AAUCACCAACUUCAGCA
rnacentral:misc_RNA from 1 species